rnacentral:rRNA from 1 species
ACUCCUACGGGAGGCAGCAGUAGGGAAUAUUGGGCAAUGGAGGCAACUCUGACCCAGCCAUGCCGCGUGCAGGAUGAAGGCGUUAUGCGUUGUAAACUGCUUUUAUAUAGGAAGAAAUAGACCUUGCGAGGUAAGUUGACGGUACUAUAUGAAUAAGCACCGGCUAACUCCGUGCCAGCAGCCGCGGUAAUACGGAGGGUGCAAGCGU